rnacentral:rRNA from 1 species
UACGAAGGGGGCUAGCGUUGCUCGGAAUCACUGGGCGUAAAGGGUGCGUAGGCGGGUCUUUAAGUCAGUGGUGAAAGCCUGGAGCUCAACUCCAGAACUGCCAUUGAAACUGUUAGACUUGAGUACGAGAGAGGUGAGUGGAAUUCCCAGUGUAGAGGUGAAAUUCGUAGAUAUUGGGAAGAACACCGGUGGCGAAGGCGGCUCACUGGCUCGUAACUGACGCUCAGGCGCGACAGCGUGGGGAUCAAACAGG